rnacentral:piRNA from 1 species
UAGAAUCUCAAAAGACGAAGAACCUG